GCGGCAGCGGGAAAGUAGCUUGCUACUUUUGCCGGCGAGCGGCGGACGGGUGAGUAAUGCCUGGGAAAUUGCCCAGUCGAGGGGGAUAACAGUUGGAAACGACUGCUAAUACCGCAUACGCCCUACGGGGGAAAGCAGGGGACCUUCGGGCCUUGCGCGAUUGGAUAUGCCCAGGUGGGAUUAGCUAGUUGGUGAGGUAAUGGCUCACCAAGGCGACGAUCCCUAGCUGGUCUGAGAGGAUGAUCAGACACACUGGAACUGAGACACGGUCCAGACUCCUCCGGGAGGCAGCAGUGGGGAAUAUUGCACAAUGGGGGAAACCGUGAUGCAGCCAUGCCGCGUGGGUGAAGAAGGCCUUCGGGUUGUAAAGCACUUUCAGCAAGGAGGAAAAGUUGAUGCCGAAUACAUAUCAACUGUGACGUUACUCGCAGAAGAAGCACCGGCUAACUCCGUGCCAGCAGCCGCGGUAAUA
rnacentral:rRNA from 1 species